rnacentral:rRNA from 1 species
UACGGGGGGAGCAAGCGUUGUUCGGAUUUACUGGGCGUAAAGGGCGCGUAGGCGGCCACCGCAAGUCAGUUGUGAAAUCUCUGGGCUUAACCCAGAACGGUCAGCUGAUACUGCGGGGCUAGAGUGCAGAAGGGGCAACUGGAAUUCUCGGUGUAGCGGUGAAAUGCGUAGAUAUUGGGAAGAACACCGGUGGCGAAAGCGCGCGACUGGACCUGAACUGACACUGAGGGACGAAAGCUAGGGGAGCGAAAGGG